GUACUCGCUUUGGCAGCACAUAUACUAUAAAUUGGAAUGAUACAGGGAGGAUUAGCAUGCCCCUGUGCAAGGUUGACACACCAAUUUGUAAAGCAUUCCAUUUAAAA